CACCAAUCAAGCCUGGCUUGGUAUUGGGCCCCGGGGGUGACCCGGGCCUCAAAGUUGUCGGCUGGAAAGCUCUGAUCUCAGCGUCGUGGUUAAACAUUCGCGAGGAGAGGGGUGAUCUAUGCCGUUAAACCCAUCAAA
rnacentral:misc_RNA from 1 species